GAGUUUGAUCGUGGCUCAGGAUGAACGCUAGCGACAGGCUUAACACAUGCAAGUCGAGGGGCAGCACAGGUAGCAAUACCGGGUGGCGACCGGCGCACGGGUGAGUAACGCGUAUGCAACUUACCUAUCAGAGGGGGAUAACCCGGCGAAAGUCGGACUAAUACCGCAUGAAGCAGGGGCCCCGCAUGGGGAUAUUUGCUAAAGAUUCAUCGCUGAUAGAUAGGCAUGCGUUCCAUUAGGCAGUUGGCGGGUAACGCCCA
rnacentral:rRNA from 1 species